rnacentral:rRNA from 1 species
CCUCAUAGCAUUUCUUCCCUAUUGACAGAGCUUUACGACUCGAAAGCCUUCAUCACUCACGCGGCGUCGCUGCAUCAGGGUUUCCCCCAUUGUGCAAAAUUCCUCA